UACGGAGGUGGCGAGCGUUGUUCGGAAUCACUGGGCGUAAAGGGCGCGUAGGCGGGGUCGGAAGUCGGGUGUGAAAGCCCCGGGCUCAACCCGGGAACGGCGCCCGAGACUCUGGCUCUUGAGUCCCGGAGAGGCGGGUGGAAUUCCUGGUGUAGCGGUGAAAUGUGUAGAGAUCAGGAGGAACACCGGUGGCGUAGGCGGCCCGCUGGACGGAGACUGACGCUGAGGCGCGACAGCGUGGGGAGCAAACAGG
rnacentral:rRNA from 1 species